rnacentral:lncRNA from 1 species
GCAUAAACAUCAUUAACAUGAGGCCUCACAUUAAAGGCUCAUUCCAUUACUAAGAAGAGAACACACAGGAAUCAAGAGCGUUAAAGAGAGUCCAACAUGGCCAAGUGGCGACUUGAACCCAGGUCCCUCGUGUAGAAUCCGGUGCUAAUGGGUCCUCUGCCUGCUUGCUUCACAGAGUGCCUCUGUCACCGGCCACCACGCUGGCUUCUUCUGUCUGCCAGCCCUGGGUCCUUUCCAAGAAAAGACAAAGCCUCCAAACAGGCAGUAAUGACAUUGAUUAUUCUAAGCCAGAGGCAGGGGACUGUGGAUCAUUUCCUUAAAAUACUUGCUCAGCAGCACUGAAGUCCUCACCCCAACCACCCUUAGUCCCAAGAAAUAAAUGUGCAGUACUUCAUUAUCAUGAAG